CAUAGCGACUAUCGUGGCAUAUCAAUAAGCGGAGGAAAAGAAACUAACAAGGAUUCCCUAGUAACGGCGAGUGAAGCGGGAAGAGCUCAAAUUUGAGAUCUUAAAGGGUUCUACCUUGACGAAUUGUAGUUUAUAGAAGUGUUUUCUGUUGGAGUUUCGGUAAAAGUUCUUUGGAAUAGGACAUCAUAGAGGGUGAGAAUCCCGUAUUUGACCGUUACUUUCAGCUGUGUGAUACACUUUCAAAGAGUCGGAUUGUUUGGGAAUGCAGUCCAAAAUGGGUGGUAAAUUUCAUCUAAAGCUAAAUAUUGGCGAGAGACCGAUAGCGAACAAGUACCGUGAGGGAAAGAUGAAAAGAACUUUGAAAAGAGAGUUAAACAGUACGUGAAAUUGUCAAAAGGGAAGCGUUUGACACCAGUGUUGUUUAGUUGAAAAUCAAUUCAAUAAUUUUUGAUUUUGAGUAGUAUUGACUUCAUCAGCUUGCUGCUUUCUUUUCGGAAAUUAUUGAAUGCACUUUUCAGUUAACAAGUCAACAUCAAUUUCUUUUGUUGUAAAAGGGUAAGAGGAAGGUGGCUUACGCUUCGGCGUAAGUGUUUAUAGCCUUUUACCUCUGCAAUCGGAGAGAUUGAGGACAGCAGCGUAGACUCCUUCGGGGUUAGAUACACUUGUGCUAAGCUAUAGCCUUGUAUAGACAACUUGUUGACUAUGCUCAGUCAUGUAGCUUACUCGCUUGUGCUAUUUUACCUACGCUUAGGAUGUUGACGAGACUGUCGAUCUC
rnacentral:rRNA from 1 species